GGAAGAGAAAGAGACUACAUCUACUUUCACACUAAAAUUGGGAUUUUUCUACUGAGGGGAUCGAACUUGGGUUCUUGCACUUGCAGCAGGUGGUGAAACCACUGAGCCAAAUCCCCGGCCCUUGAGAGUCUCCAAGUCGAGGACAUUGGGUGUCUGGCACAUAGUUGAGUGACUAAUACAUGUGGCAGAAUUAUGGAGUGAAAAGUGCUGCAUGGAGGAGUUUGAAGAGCUGGGUUCCAGUGCUGCAGACUUUGGUAGAACACAGUGAGACCCUGGCCAGCUACCUCCAUAUCUCUCCAGUGAGAUGGUUGCACCAAAUGAUCUCUAGAAGUCCUUUUCGGAGUCAAAGUUUGUAGGUAUUUGAUCAAAGAGGUGUCAUAAUUCAAAC
rnacentral:lncRNA from 1 species